ACGUAGGGUCCGAGCGUUGUCCGGAAUUACUGGGCGUAAAGCGUGCGCAGGCGGUCUUCAAAGCGCUACGUGAAAGCCCCGGGCUCAACCCGGGAGGGUCGUGGCGAACUGGGAGACUUGAGGCUGGUAGAGGUGGGUGGAACUCCUGGUGGAGUGGCGAAAUGCGUAGAGAUCAGGAAGAACACCCGUGGCGAAGGCGGCCCACUGGGCCGGUACUGACGCUGAGGCACGAAGGCGUGGGGAGCGAACGGGAUUAGAUACCCCGGUAGUCCACGCAGUAAACGAUGUCGACUCGGUGUGGGCGGUCUUGACCCCGUCCGCGCCACAGCUAACGCGAGAAGUCGACCGCCUGGGGAGUACGGCCGCAAGGCUA
rnacentral:rRNA from 1 species